GUGCCCGCUUUGGCAGCAUAUAUACUAAAAUUUAAACGAUACAGAGAAGAUUAGCAUUGCCCCUACGAAAGGAUGACACUCAAAAUUCAUGAAGCGUUCCACGGAUUC